GCAGCUAAGGUGUGUAUGAUGAGGUUUUGCAGCAGCUGGGGGUGUGAAGUAUUAUGUUCGGCAGCAGCUGAGCUGUAUAUUAUGAUGUUCUGCAGCAGCUGGGGUGUGUAUUAUGAGGUUCAGCAGCAGCUAAGGUGUGUAUGAUGAGGUUCUGCAGUAGCUGGGGUGUGUAUUAUGAGGUUUUGCAGCAGCUGGGGGUGUGAAGUAUUAUGUUCGGCAGCAGCUGAGCUGUAUAUUAUGAUGUUUUGCAGCAGCUGGGGUGUGUAUUAUGAGGUUCAGCAGCAGCUAAGGUGUGUAUGAUGAGGUUCUGCAGUAGCUGGGGUGUGUAUGAGGUUUUGCAGCAGCUGUCGUGUGAUGUAUUAUGUUCUGCAGCAGCUGAGGUCUGUAUUAUGGGGCUCUGCAGCAGCUGAAGUGUGUAUUGAGGUUCUGCAGCAACAGAGGUGUGCCUUAUGAUGUUCUGCAGCAGCUAAGGUGUGUAUGAUGAGGUUUUGCAGUAGCUGAGGUGUGUGUUGUGAGGUUUUGUAGCAGCUGGGGGUGUGAAGUAUUAUGUUAUGCAGCAGCUGAGCUGUAUAUUAUGAUGUCCUGCAGCAGCUGAGUUGAGUAUCAUGAUAUUCUGCAGCAGCUAAGGAGUGUAUUAUGAUGAUUUGCAGCAACUAAGGUGUGCUAUGAUGUUCUGCAGCAGCUGUGGUGUGUAUUAUGAGGUUCAACAGCAGCUAAGGUGUGUAUGAUGAGGUUCUGCAGUAGCUGGGGUGUGUAUUAUGAGGUUUUGCAGCAGCUGUGGUGUGAUGUAUUAUGUUCUGCAACAGCUGAGGUGUGUAUUAUGAUGUUCUGCACCUGCUGAGGUCUGUAUUAUGGGGCUCUGCAGCAGCUGAGGUCUGUAUUAUGGAGCUCUGCAGCAGCUAAGGUCUGUAUUAUGGGGCUCUGCAGCAGCUAAGGUCUGUAUUAUGGGGCUCUGCAGCAGCUGA